GAAUACAAGAUUCUACAGUCUCAGAGAACCCGAGACCUUGCUGCCAGAGCAGUUCAUUCGACGGAACACGGCGCCCAUCAUUAACGUCGUGCCGGAUCCUUCGGCCAGGUCCAUCAAUUUCCACUACCACGAGAGUAGCAGUCCUGUGUCGGCCUGGAGAAAGUCCAUCUCCAAACUUGUUUCUGAAAAGGCCUCGCAAGACAACAUAUUGGCUGAAAGGAAUGGAAGUGAAACCAGUAGCAGGACUGUGAUGGACGCCAUUUUGAGCAGCCAAUGGGCCGAUCAAGAUGAGGUCAAGCAGACUCCAUCCGAAGACACAACCGACGAGCUCGA